rnacentral:rRNA from 1 species
UACGGGGGGGGGCAAGCGUUGUUCGGAAUUACUGGGCGUAAAGGGCUCGUAGGCGGCCAACUAAGUCAGACGUGAAAUCCCUCGGCUUAACUGGGGAACUGCGUCUGAUACUGGAUGGCUUGAGUUUGGGAGAGGGAUGCGGAAUUCCAGGUGUAGCGGUGAAAUGCGUAAGAUAUCUGGAGGAACACCGGUGGCGAAGGCGGCAUCCUGGACCAAUACUGACACUGAGGAGCGAAAGCCAGGGGAGCAAACGGG